rnacentral:rRNA from 1 species
ACGCUCGACACCUACGCGAGGCAGCAGUGGGGAAUAUUGCACAAUGGGGGAAACCCUGAUGCAGCGACGCCGCGUGGAGGAAGAAGGUCUUCGGAUUGUAAACUCCUGUUGUUGGGGAAAAAGAGGAUGGUACCCAACAAGGAAGUGACGGCUAACUACGUGUCAGCAGCCGCGGUAAUCUGAGCGGGCUGGCAAGGC